UUUGUGACAAAAUUGGCGGGAAAUUUUUAAUAACUUUGAGCGCUUGGCAAAUCUAAACUAAACAAUAUUUUUCUAUUAUUUAAAAUGGAUAUUGAAGUUGGAGGAAAUCAAAAAGCUGACAAAAGUGUUCGUCUUCUGUAGAGGAAAAAAAGGUGUUCUGCGUAUUUGUGCGUUGUUUAAUUUUGGUUUGCGGCUUUUUGCGGCUUUUCCGAUGCUUUAAUUAUUUAGAUGUGCUUGAAUUCUGUCACGCCACGUUGCUGGACGUGUGGAUGGACAGCGGGCGCCACUCUUCCGCGCUGGUUGAACUUGUAUUUGGUCAAAUAGAUUAAUGUACACUGAGUGACGACAAA